CGUUAAUCAUUUGAGAAAAUCUAUGUUAAAGCUAAUUACUGCCAUUACAAAACAACGUGCUGCAUAUGGCUGAUUAAAAAUGGAAAGUGGCUGCUGUCCUGCUGCUGUGUUGAGUCCUGCCCUGCACUUCAGAAAUGGAGAAGGAAAUUCUCAUGUAUCUCAGUCUGUGACAUACGGGCUUUGCUCUGCUGGGAAAUCCCUCCCAUCACACUGCAAUGUGGUAUGGGGCAGGCAGCUGUGGGCUGCACUGUCCGUCACUGGCUCUGUGGGAGCUGAGUUUGUUUCCCUAGAUACGUUUUGGCUGGUCACUAGUUUAGGUAACAGCAAGUUCCCUUUCCAGCACAUAGGAAAAGCUCUUGAGUCAUCACGCCGUGGCACUGAGCCCACAGAACUCUGUCCCCCAUAGGGACAGGCUUUGAAUUUGAGCUUGUAUCUUAUUAACUGUUGGUGUUGCUGCCAGGGCUGUGACCUCACUUGCACAAGGCUCAUUUGCCCAGGAAUGCCUUGUCAUAUGUGCCCUCAGAGCCCUCCUGCUCGAGCAGCACCUCAUCCUGCUGCACACCAGGAGCCAAGGGGAUGCAUGUCCCCCAUACCAGGGAUGCUGGAAAUGUCCCUUUCUGUUCCUCUGCUGGCCUCCUUUCCUCUUGCUGACAUCAGGGCCAUGCUGCAAUUACAACGCCUUCCCCAAGUGCACUUCUUGCUGGGAAAAAGUUGUCUUGUUCUUUUUCCUUGAUAGCCCACAAUGGAAGAAAACUCACAUGCAAUUAAUGGAGGAGGAUUAUUUGGCUUGAAGCUGGCACCUGCUGCUGUACAAAAGCAUUUACAGCAUGAGCCUUUUUCACAAUGGGCAGUGACUGCCAAAACCAAGAGCUCUGCGAACCUGUGAGAUGCUGGAGAAAUAAGGGAGAGAAUGGACCACAGGCAUUGCUCUUCCUGAGAAGCAUCUCCUAUCACUGCUGUUGGAGACCACAAUAGGCUGCAUGAACCAUGGCUCUGACCCAGUUGGGUGUAAUUUACGUUCUUAUUUUCUUGUAUUCUUGACAGCUGAGUGUGUGCACAGAGCUCAGGCACUGAUGUAGAUCCUGUCCUUUAAGUUAACGAUAAAGUGCAAGUCCUGAUUGGCUGUGUUUAUCUGCUCUCUCCAGAGUUAAGGACUUGUUGCCUUCCCCCACUUUUUGUUCAGCCCUUGUGAACCUCCUAUCUUCUUGUAAGUCCCAUUCUCAAUCUCUUAUAUGCAGAGUGAAAGGAAUCUAUAAUGUAGUAUGACUGUUUCUAAUGCUGUUGCGGUAGUAGUUAUCAGCACUAUGCAGGUACUUCAUACUGGUUGAACUACCAGUAUUCUACCCCAAGUUUUGAGCUACAAAGCAUAAAACAUUAUGCAGUAUGCAUCUACUUUAAUAGAGAUUAAAACAAAGGGGAGGCCUAGAAUCAGAUUUUGCUUGUGGCUUCUGACCUGAGGUAUUUUCAGAGCUACAGGAGCAAGGUAAGCAUCUUUUUAUGCCAGGGACAUUGAAGAUAUUUUCUCAGAAAGAUGUACUUAGAGGUACAUUUUACCCAAAUCAAGUAGCCUCCAAAGGUGAUCUUAACUAAUUUGCAGCCUGUUUACUACUUCUAAUCUUUAUGCUUCCAUUAUAUUAUGCAGUGGUUCUCAUUUCCUGACCUCCCUCCACCCAUCUUCACACCUCUGGAUUAUUGAGUAAGAACAGUUCUGUUCUCCAGUGCCAGGCACAGCACAGGAAUAGCCUUUGGAAAUUACCCAGCUUGUUGGGCUGGUGUUCCUGGGUGGCAGAGUCAGAAGCAAGUUAAGGAAAAAGAAAACUUCGCAGAGAUGUGGCUCAGUAACACCUGAGGUGACUAAUUUCAGCACAAGUCAAGCUCCAUACCAUCAUGAUGAGGAAAGUGGUGCUCCAACAACUGAGCUUAUCUGUGAACAGAGAGGCGCAGAAACAUAGUUCUUGAAGACAGAAGUUAUAAUAUAUCUAGGGCUAAUUAGAGGAGUACUUUAAUUUCUUGAACCUGUGCUGAAGAGUGAACUCUUUCCCUUGCAUUUCAAAUUAUGUGAGAAAUAUCUGAAAGUUGACAAGAACAGCUCACUGGGUAUGACCACAGCAAUGCUGAAGGAGGAUGAGACUGUAUCAGGUGUUAGACAGCUCACAUGGAAGAGAAUAGCAACUAUGAAAGUGCAAGUGAGGUACAGAGAGCAGAAAACAGGAUGAGUCUCCAAGGACUGCUACUACCACAACAGCAAGGUUCUGAACGAACACCUUGAAAUUGGUUAUCUCAUGAAUACCUCACUGCCUUUUUACCUGUGUGUUGAUUUCCCAGAGAUUAUUGUUGGGAUCACUUUGAUAUUAAAAAUGAAAGCCUUGCAGCAUCAUGGCAACAUAUGUUAUCUGUGCCCUAAUAUUACGAGAUUAACAAAUGCAUCUGGGUGACUGUUUAAGGAUGACAAUUUGCCAGAGCACUGAGGGUAUAGAAAAAAAAUCAGUGGAGAAUAUAUGAUGAUAAGAAUAAAUAGAAUUCUUCAAGAAAAAUUUCUAAUAGAUAUCUUAACUAAGAUAAAUUAAUCUUAGCUUGUUUAAUCGGACAGGUGCUGUAGAAAAUGACAGUCCUUUAAAGGAGAUGGCCAAGUCAGAAAAGUGUCUUCUAUUAAUGUAUUAGUAGUAUCCACUAUCAAAGCAGACUAAGCUAAGACAGCCAUCUGUUGAUAUCAUAGUGUUUUGGUAGGCUGUUCUGCUUACAACCUAAAAAAUAAAAAUCAAUAAAGAC